rnacentral:tRNA from 1 species
AUUAUCUUGACAGAUGAAUGUGCUAGAUUUAGGAUCUAAUUAUACGAUAAUUUCGUAGAUAAUA